GUAGGUGGCAAGCGUUGUCCGGGAAUUAUUGGGGCGUAAAGCGCGCGCAGGCGGUUCUUUAAGUCUGAUGUGAAAGCCCACGGGCUCAACCGUGGAGGGUCAUUGGAAACUGGAGAACCUGAGUACAGAAGAGGAAAGCGGAAUUCCACGUGUAGCGGUGAAAUGCGUAGAGAUGUGGAGGAACACCAGUGGCGAAGGCGGCUUUCUGGUCUGUAACUGACGCUGAGGCGCGAAAGCGUGGGGAGCAAACAGGAUUAGAUACCCUGGUAGUCCACGCCGUAAACGAUGAGUGCUAAGUGUUAGGGGGUCUCCGCCCCUUAGUGCUGCAGCUAACGCAUUAAGCACUCCGCCUGGGGAGUACGGCCGCAAAGGCUG
rnacentral:rRNA from 1 species